rnacentral:rRNA from 1 species
AGAGAGAGACAUGCGCGCAUAUCAAUAAGCGGAGGAAAAGAAACUAACAAGGAUUCCCUUAGUAACGGCGAGUGAAGCGGGAAGAGCUCAAAUUUGAAAUCUUCAAGGUUUUACCUUGACGAAUUGUAGUUUAAAGAAGUGUUUUCUGCUGAAGUUUUGGUAUAAGUUCUUUGGAAUAGGACAUCAUAGAGGGUGAGAAUCCCGUAUUUGACCAUUAUUUUCAGCUUUGUGAUACACUUUCAAAGAGUCGGAUUGUUUGGGAAUGCAGUCCAAAAUGGGUGGUAAAUUUCAUCUAAAGCUAAAUAUUGGCGAGAGACCGAUAGCGAACAAGUACUGUGAGGGAAAGAUGAAAAGAACUUUGAAAAGAGAGUUAAACAGUACGUGAAAUUGUCAAAGGGGAAGCGUUUGACACCAGUGUUGUUUUCUCGAAAAUCAAUUAAAAAUGGCUCGAUUUUGUAUUGUUGAGACCUUAAAAGCUCACUGUACAUUUUUCGUGUCUUUUUUAAUGCACUUUUCGUUUAAACAAGUCAACAUCAGUUUCUUUUGUUGUAAAAGGGUCAUUGGAAGGUGGCUUUCUUUUCGGAGAAAGUGUUUAUAGCCUUUGGCCUCUGCAAUCGGAGAGACUGAGGUCUGCAGCGUAGAUCCUUCGGGGUUAGAUACAUUUGUGCUAAGUUAUAGCCUUUCAUAGACAACUUGUUGACUAUGAUCAGUCAUGUAGCUUACUCGCUUAUGCUAUUUUACCUACGCUUAGGAUGUUGAGUCGUAGAGCACGCAG